GGAGCAUCAGCACCACCAUGAGACUCGCCGCAUUGCUGGUUCUGCUGUGCCUGUGCUCUACUGCGAAGGCUUUGCCCUCUAGCAUUCCAGCCACACCAGAGAUGGGAUUAUCUGCAUCAGGAAAUGGCACAAUAAACAUUCCUAGUAAAUCAAUAAUGAAUGAAGUUCUGCAGUUUGGAGUAAGAGGUCCACCAAUACCUGCUUGAUGACAUGCAAGACUAACAUAAGUUGCCCAAAGGGACCAAUCCAGGAAAGGCAAUAAAAAAAAAAAUGUCAUUGCUUAAAAUAAAAUAAACUGAAA